UGGGUUGUUUUUGCCUUUGCAGAGCCCGGUCGGUAGGCUUUGCUGGAUUUUCUCCUUCUUCUCAAAGGCUCCAACCCAGCCGAAGCGCUCAGCCCCCGCCUGGCCUCCAACCGCCCGGCCCCUCCCUUGUGCGGAGUUUCCAGCCGCCCAGCGGUCUCCACGGCAACGCAGAGGCAAGCUUUAGCGCGGGUCCGCUCUGGGAGGGGAGUGUCCGGCGUGGGGAGCCGGCUCGGCCGCACCUCUUCUGGGCUCCGUUUCCCUACUUUAGGCCUGAUCCCCUACUCAGCUUCCCGGAAAAGCUACCCGUUUGAGGAAUAGUUGGUUUAUGGAUCCAAGUCCAAAAACUCGAGACUUCCAAGUGGAAUGACCUCGCAGAUGAGGUACAUGCAGCACAAGUAGGCAGAGCGGCAGGCAGAGGGAGAGGGAGAAGCAGGAUCCUGCUGAGCAGGGAGCCUGAUGCAGGGCUCGAUCCCAGGAUUUCGGGUUCCUGACCAGACCUUAAGGCAGACGCCGGCCUCCAGAACUGGCCACAUAGUCAGGACACCCCUGCCUCCCACCUCUUCAACGCAAAAUCUGGGGCUUUUUGAGGGAUCCAGCAGUCGCCAGAAAGCAGAGGGAGCCCAGCAGCCCAAGCGCAGAGGAGAAAUACCCGGACCUCUCUCUCCUCCCGCCCUCUGAUUCCUGCCGCUGCCUCCCAUUGGCUGAUCCAGACCGGAAGUCAUCUGGCAAAGGCGCUUCGAAAGGCCUUCCCGGCCACUUCGAACUUGCCCAGAGGCUUCAGAGGGACCCGUAUGAUCUCUUCAAACUCCUCAUGGUUGCAGUCUUCCGGUAUUCCCAGGAUCAUCAGGGACUUGUAACUGUCCACCUCGAGCGCCUUGC